AAGUCGUAAACAAGGUCUCCGUUGGUGAACCAGCGGAGGGAUCAUUACUGAGUACUACACUCUCUACCCUUUGUGAACUAUUAUACCUGUUGCUUCGGCGGCGCCCGCAAGGGUGCCCGCCGGUCUCAUCAGAAUCUCUGUUUUCGAACCCGACGAUACUUCUGAGUGUUCUUAGCGAACUGUCAAAACUUUUAACAACGGAUCUCUUGGCUCCAGCAUCGAUGAAGAACGCAGCGAAACGCGAUAUGUAAUGUGAAUUGCAGAAUUCAGUGAAUCAUCGAAUCUUUGAACGCACAUGGCGCCUUCCAGUAUCCUGGGAGGCAUGCCUGUCCGAGCGUCGUUUCAACCCUCGAGCCCCUGUGGCCCGGCGUUGGGGAUCUGCCACGGCAGGCCCCUAAAACCAGUGGCGGACCCGAAGGGCCCUCUCCUUUGCGCAGUAGCAUUCGCCUCGCAUCGGGAGUCCUCGGCGUCCUGCCUCUAAACCCCCCACAAGCCCGCUUCGGCGGCACCAAGGUUGACCUCGGAUCAGGUAGGAAUACCCGCUGAACUUAA
rnacentral:rRNA from 1 species